CGGAGGAUCCAAGCGUUAUCCGGAUUCACUGGGUUUAAAGGGUGCGUAGGUGGGCAAGUAAGUCAGCGGUGAAAUCUCCGGGCUUAACCCGGAAACUGCCAUUGAUACUAUUUGUCUUGAAUACUGUGGAGGUCAGCGGAAUAUGUCAUGUAGCGGUGAAAUGCUUAGAUAUGACAUAGAACACCAAUUGCGAAGGCAGCUGGCUACACAAAUAUUGACACUGAGGCACGAAAGCGUGGGGAUCAAACAGGAUUAGAUACCCUGGUAGUCCACGCCCUAAACUAUGGAUACUCGACAUUUGCGAUAAACUGCAAGUGUCUGAGCGAAAGCAUUAAGUAUCCCACCUGGGAAGUACGAUCGCAAGAUUG
rnacentral:rRNA from 1 species